ensembl:snoRNA small nucleolar RNA SNORA65
CCCGCCACUAUACCGGUCUGCCAGGGUGACUGGGUGUAAUCCAGUGGAGGCUCAGAUUAAUCCGGCUUUAGGAAACAGGGCUGCCCAGCCUAGUGGGCAUCUCUGUGCCGAAAAGUCUGGAACAAAC